rnacentral:lncRNA from 1 species
CACCUUGAUAUAUAGAUAAUACAUACAACAUUUGCCUGAAAUUAAUCCAUAUACAGUUCUCCCUUCUGAGUGGUGUUUUGUAGUAAUUUGGAAAAUACAUAUGUACUGAUGAUGUGUAGUAAAUGUUAAACAUUCAUCUAAAAACAACUAUUUCUCUUUUUCCUUCUGUCAUCCUUUUGCUUUUGUCCAUAGGUGGUACGGACUUAUAACUGAUUGUAAGUAAACACACAAACAGUGCAUAGAUUGGCCUAUAAUUCAAAUACAGAGUGGUGUAUUCCCACAGUAAUCAGUGUUCAUCUAUUAUACAUCCUGAUCCUGUCUUUGAAAUGAAUAUAAAUACCACUUUCUUUUAUAUAGUGCUUGGAGACUUCACUGCUGGACUCAGGGUGAACUGUCAAUGUAGGCUAUUAUAAAUGUACAAUGGUGUAAGCAGAAAUUUGUUUUGUUAGUAAUUGACUGACUUGAAUAAUCUUUCCAUCUAAUGUUGUUCUCAAGAAUAAUGAAAACUAGAAAAAGUAAUUUCUCGAGAAAUUACAUGGGAGAGCUGAUCUGCUGCCGCAAUGAUGCCAAGCGCUGAUUAAACUGAAACAAAGUUGACUACAACAAAAUGAUGAAAACGACAAAAUGUUGGCAAAGAUUAAAAUGAUGACAGUGAUUGAAAAGAUGGUGAUUAAAAAGAACAUUAAAAAGAUGACCACGGUCAAACGAUGACAAGAUUAAAAAAAUAACAAUGACUCAAAAGUUGACCAAGGUAAAAAGAUGUCAAAGAUUAAUGUCAGGUUCUGGCUCUGUUAUCAGGUUUAUUUUGAAGGCACCUUGUUUUUCUGUCGUAUCAUCAUGUUUUGGGUUCCAGUUUCCACUUCCUGUCUUUAUUUUGGUAGUCUCCCGGUUUCUGUUUUCGGUUCCAGCUUUACUUCCGGUCCCCAUUAGUCACACCUGCUCCGUAUCAAGUAAUCACUUCUUGUAUUUAACCACCACCUGUUUCCUCAGUUCCCCGCCAGAUCGUCGUAUGUAUGCCAGACUACACUUUCCAGCAUUAGUCACACCUGCUCCGUAUCAAGUAAUCACUUCUUGUAUUUAACCACCACCUGUUUCCUCAGUUCCCCGCCAGAUCGUCGUAUGUAUGCCAGACUACACUUUCCAGCAUUUAGUUAUCCUGUUCAUGUUGUUUGGAUCCAGCUCCGUUUUCUGACUCCUGAUUCUCGCCUGCUCCCUGAUCGGUACUUUUGCUUGGACAGCUCUGGAAAUACGAACCUGACCGCCCGACUACGAGACGCCCUGCUCCCUCACGGUACUGUAAAACUGCUAUCUUCGGUUACUGAAUCUCUGCCUGCCCCUGGAUCCGUACCCGCCUGCCCCACCGAUACCGAAGCCCCUUGAUUGACUGUGCAUGACCUGGACUGUCUGUGAUUCUGAAUAAACCGUUUAACCCUACGUUCUGCCUGUGGUCU